rnacentral:rRNA from 1 species
UACGGAGGGUGCAAGCGUUAUCCGAAUUCACUGGGUUUAAAGGGUGCGUAGGAGGGCAGGUAAGUCAGUGGUGAAAUCUCCGAGCUUAACUUGGAAACUGCCGUUGAUACUAUCUGUCUUGAAUAUUGUGGAGGUGAGCGGAAUAUGUCAUGUAGCGGUGAAAUGCUUAGAUAUGAUAUAGAACACCAAUUGCGAAGGCAGCUCGCUACACAUAUAUUGACUCUGAGGCACGAAAGCGUGGGGAUCAAACAGG